rnacentral:lncRNA from 1 species
GGAACACUGAAAAAUCUCUCGUGAUAUACAUGGAAGAUUACCAAGGUUAUUCCAAUUAAGUUUCAACUAGUAAUUAUAUAAACCAUAUAGACUUGAUGGAUGAUAAAUAAAUGGGAUACUUUCAUGCAAUUAAACCCUAAAAGUAGCUUACUUAACCAUUAAUGUUUUCUUGCCAACCAUACAUCAAAGGCAUGUUAGAAUAGGUUCCUUAAUUUUUAGAAUUUUCUCUGUGAUUAUUGUUUUUUAAGGUAAUAAGUAUUUUAUUAAACAAAUAAAACGAAAAACAUCGACAUCAAAAUACAAUUUUAUAAGACUUUUUUUAUUAGCACACCAUAUACUGUUGAAUACAUAUUAAAUGACUUAUACACCUUACUAUGCAAUGCCAAUUUCGACCUUAUUAGGUUAGAAUAAAAAAUAAAAAAAUUGAAUAAACCCAAAUCGCUUUUAACGUAUUAUUUAUCUACUUUUUUUGUCUUCCCAACAAAUGCAAGCAAAAUGAUAAAACUGCCGGAUUAGAACUUGAAUGGGUGUGAAGAAAUUAACGAUAUUGCUUUAUAUAUGUCGUCUCACAGCAUAACCCCAAUUAAAAGAAAUGAUAAUAGUAAUAAAAUGGCUAAACACAAUCUCUGUUCUGCACUCAACACCAAUAAAUAAAUAUGUUUUCUUUUCAUACAUAUGAAAAUGCAAUGAAACUACAUCAACAUUCAACUACGUUUUUGCCAAUCUGGGCAAAGUCCUAGCAAUAUUCACAUUACAAGAGACCUUCUGAUUGUUCUCCUUUCCCUUGUUGCUUUUACCCUCGAAUUUUUGUCAUUAAACCUCAGCGUAUUACCUCGUUUGCCACCUUCAACAGAGUCACAGCAUCCUCAUCUUCCUCCAAUCUUGAUUGUGACUGAGUAUUAUAAGAUGUGAAGAAUGUGGGGUGUAUAGAAAAUAUAAGGUGUAUGUUGAGAAUAGGGGUGGGAGGGUAAUAUGGGAAAGUAAAUAGGAUGUAUUAAGAUAAAUUUUAAUUGAAAAAGUAAAUAUGGGGUGUAUUAAGUAUGUAGGAUUUAUUCAACAAUAUGUGAAGUGUAAAUAUAAUAAACCUUUUAUAAUUAUAAACUCAACAGAAAGACAAUAAAAAAGUCACUUUUAAGUUAAUUUUAUUUACUUUACAUUUCUCAUCCGAGGAAUGAAAAGUAAAUAAAACCAAUUUAGAAAACAAUACUCGUAUAUUCAAAAUGAUAACAUAAACAUCUUAUAAAUUGUCAAAUUAUUUUGCAUAUCAUAUUUAUUUUGCAUCAAAACUAAUGAUUUGAUGUAAACAUUUCACAAACAAUAACAUGCAUGUGCCACACUUAUGCACGUAAUUUCCAUAUAAUUAAGAUUCAAUACUAAAAGAUGAAUGAAGAUCCUCUUCGAAUCCUCUUUGUGAGAAUGCCGGAAAUCCUUUAAUCGUAUUCGUUUAUCGUACAUCAUGCGAUCAAAAAUCAUUGUAAAUUUUUCAUUUCAAAUUGAAUAUUAAUAGCAUUUGACAAAAAUUAGUCGUACGAUAUGCAAUAAACAGACAUGAUUAAAAGAUCUUCGAGAUCUUCAAUAAUACUACUAGCUACUACUACCACAAGAUAAUAUUCCAUGAUGAUCAGAAAGCAGCCUCUUUAUCCUACGCAUAAAACACUUUUGACUGAGUGUCCAAUCUCCAUUAAUAAUGACAUGCAACUUUCACCAUUUUUAAUAUUAAGGUUUCCAUUUUUCAUUUUCAUGUUUUUCACUCGCCAAACCGGUCGGUUCUCUCCUUUCAGUCUGUUACAAUUUGUUCAUCUUUUUGUGUCGAUAAAUCCGCACAAUUAGGGCAACAGAAGCAAUCAAGUUUUGAGUUCGUUUGAUGUUUGGAUGCGUUACGUUUGAGAAUUGAACUAAGAGAGAGAUUCAUCAGCAUGCGUUACUUGUGAAGGCAAAGCAUGCAGAUGAUGUGAAGUUGUGAAUGACAAUGAAUGAUGUAUUGGAUUACUUAUGUUGUAAGCCAUUUGUUUAUGAGUUGUUAACGACAAAAGUAAUCUGAUAGUCCUAGUGAAUAGGGGUGGGCACUUAAAACCGAAACACGAACCAAAUCGAACCGCACCGAACGGUUUGGUUUUGUGGUUUUGGAACGGUUUUGAUUUUGAAACCGAACCGCAACAUAGAAAACGGUUUGAUUUCGGUUUUGGCUUUUGAAAACCGCACCGAAACUGAAUCACAUCGCAAAUAUUAAUAAACAUUUAAUUAAAUGUCCAUAUUAAAUUUCAUGUUUUAAUUUGUUGUUUGUUAGAAUCCAUGCACUUAGUAUGGACACAACCACACUAGAAUAUCAUCAUUCAUCACUUUCUUUCGUUCAUUAACUUGAAGGACCUUUGUUAUUUUAUACCAUCACACACACACACACAUAUAUGUACAAGGGUGGACUAAUCUUGUUAUCAAGAGUCGAACAAUGAUCUAAUGAAGUGCACUCAUUUGAAGCAUGAUAUCACAUAUUCUAGUAUGAAAGUUUCGCUCAUGUUUAAUGAAUUCAAAGUUAUUCAACUUGUUUUAUGUUAUACCUUGUACGAGACACCUUUUAGUUGCACAAACAUAUUUUAACAUAACAACUGCAUGCAACAUGCUAAUUGUUUAUAUAACAAAUGUCUUUUUCUUAUUACUACUGGGAAAUGCUUAUUAAUAUGUUAAAUUGCAAAUUGUACAUUUUUUCUUAAAAACCAAACCUAAACCGUUUGAAACAGCACCGAACCGAACCAAACGGUUUGGUUUCAUUUCGGUUUUGGCUUCAAAACCGCACAGAAUCAAACCGCAAAAAAAUUUGGUUUCGGUUUUGGUUUCACUACAAAUAUAUAGAAUCAUGGUAGGACUCAAUCACUUAAGUAAUAAAAUGGCUAAACACAAUCUCUGUUCUGCAAUUCAACACCAAUAAAUAAAUAUGUUUUCUUUUAAUACAUCUAAAAAUGCAAUGAAACUACAUCAACAUUCAGCUACGUUUUUGCCAAUCUGGGCAAAGUCCUAUUACCAUUCACAUUACAAGAGACCUUCUGAUUGUUCUCCUUCCCUUGCUGCUUUUACCCUCGAUUUUUUGUCAUUAAACCUCAGCGUAUUACCUCGUUUGCCACCUUCAACAGAGUCACAGCAACCUCAUCUUCAUCCAAUCUUGAUU